UAAAGCGGUCUAAAGCAGUGUUUUGGGGCCUAGUUCUGCAAAUCCUUGACUACUAGCUGGGGUACUCACUACUGGUAAUAGUUCUAGUGGAAAGAAUGGGGUUGUUCUCAGGAACAAGCACAUGCUCAAGAGUAAGUGUUUACAGGAUUGUACCCAUAUUUUGCAGUUUUUAAAUUCCCUGAGUAUGUUUUAUGGUCUUCGUCAGUUGUGAACUUUUUAAAAUUAUUUUUUGCAGAUUAUUUUUGGGGUUGAAAUACACUAUAACCACUUGUUGGAAAAUAAAUACAAAGUUCACUGUUUUUCAUACAAAUUAAAAAUAUUUGAGAGGAGGAAAAGCUCAGGGCCACUUCCUGGCACAAACUUUUAAGCAUAAAUUCGCAUUGAAAACAAUGAGGAAUUUUGCCUAAAAAUCACAUGUAUAGUAUGACUCUAAAUCUUAGCAAUAGAGGUUGAAAGAAGUCUGUAGAGUUCCUAGCACAAUAGGGCUUGAUUCUUGGUAGUCCUUUCCUAGUGAAGUCAUUGGGCAAAAAUUGUGAGUAGCAGAUUAAUGUACUUUAUACCAGUUUGGUAUUCUGUGUGUAUGCAAAACAAGUGUAAUAUAUACUCCCUCUUUGGCCUCUCUAUGAGCAGCAAAAAAGGGGGUGUGGCUGGGUACAAAGAAAGGAGUAUAUAUGCAGUCCUUGUGUAAGAGGAUGCAACUUCCUUUGAAAUCAAUGGGAUUGCAUCAGUUUCCACUUAUGGGUGAAUUUGGCUCCUAAAGCAUUAAGGAUAUCUUCUGUGGCAUGGUCAUAAUGUAAUGUAAUGUCAUGAAAGUAAUGACAAGGAAAACUUUAUUAUUAUUCAUGUUAAUCCUAGAUAUGUUUAGUGAUAGCUUCCCUGCGCUUGCAAUUUGAAGUUAGACCCAAGAAAUAACAAAAGAAUAACGGACAUGGGUCAUUCCGGGGAGAAAAGUAGUAAAGAAAUGGAGGAGGAUAAAAGGUGAGAAGGGGAAUUUCCAUGUAAUUAUGAAAAGGAGAAAGUUGGGUGCAUCAUGGAUUUUAAUUUUGGGGGUGUUUUAAUAGAAUUUAUGAUGGGAUAAAUUUUGUUAGAAUGGAAGAUUAAAGGUGAUAGACCUGGCAGAUUUGGACUGAUUAUUUGGAUCAGAAAAGAGUAGUUGUUUGGUGUAUGAAAACAGGGAGGCUACUCCAGGCAAUGUAGAGGAACGUAGUUGUAUAGGAAGC